rnacentral:rRNA from 1 species
GACGGGGGGGGCAAGUGUUCUUCGGAAUGACUGGGCGUAAAGGGCGCGUAGGCGGUUUGGACAGUCAGAUGUGAAAUUCCUGGGCUCAACCUGGGGGCUGCAUUUGAUACGUUCGGACUAGAGUGGGGAAGAGGGUCGUGGAAUUCCCAGUGUAGAGGUGAAAUUCGUAGAUAUUGGGAAGAACACCGGUGGCGAAGGCGGCGACCUGGUCCUUGACUGACGCUGAGGCGCGAAAGCGUGGGGAGCAAACAGG